GCUCAGGAUGAACGCUGGCGGCGUGCCUAAUACAUGCAAGUCGAGCGAACAGAUGAGAAGCUUGCUUCUCUGAUGUUAGCGGCGGACGGGUGAGUAACACGUGGGUAACCUACCUAUAAGACUGGGAUAACUCCGGGAAACCGGGGCUAAUACCUGAUAAUAUUUUGAACCGCAUGGUUCGAUAGUGAAAGGCGGCUUCGGCUGUCACUUAUAGAUGGACCCGCGCCGUAUUAGCUAGUUGGUAAGGUAAUGGCUUACCAAGGCGACGAUACGUAGCCGACCUGAGAGGGUGAUCGGCCACACUGGAACUGAGACACGGUCCAGACUCCUACGGGAGGCAGCAGUAGGGAAUCUUCCGCAAUGGGCGAAAGCCUGACGGAGCAACGCCGCGUGAGUGAUGAAGGUUUUCGGAUCGUAAAACUCUGUUGUUAGGGAAAGAACAAAUUUGUUAGUAAACUGAACAAGUC
rnacentral:rRNA from 1 species